AUUUAUAUAGUUUAAAAAUAAACAUUACAUUUUCAUUGUAAAAAUAAAAUUUUAAUAUUUUUAUAAAUA
rnacentral:tRNA from 1 species